UCCCAACGGUCACAUGGGGUACUGAUGGAGAGCCAUUAAAGCUCUUGGGGAAACGAAGAAAGCAUUAAAACCUUUGGGAAGUGGGAAAGGAUGGUCACCUUUGACCUACUGAGAUUCGCUCUAAUAGAAAGGCAAAAACAGAAACUGAAUGGGAAACGUCUUCUCUAACUCACCCUCCCUCAUCUCAGCUCAAAGCCUCUUCCUCAAUAUAUAAAAAAAAUCUACCUCUCCUAACACAAAACAAACACUCAAAAACAAGAAGAAAUAAAGGUCAACAAUAUCAACACAAUCACGAACCCUAAACAAAACAGAGGUUGGCGCUGGAUACCGAAGAACAAGAAGAAGCGAGAAAUCUACCAGAUCGGGGUAUUUUGGAGACGAAUGAACAGUUUUUUGGCCGCUGAAUUAUUAGGGUUUUUUCGCUCUGCCUUUGAAUCGUGGCCGCCCCUCCUUUUAUACUCACCCUGCUAGGGUUUUGAGCCUACUGCAAUCAAAAGGGGUAUGCUCUUGGAAGUGCUUUAAGGUGUUUCAAUUGUCUACCUUAUUUGGUGUUUGGUCUGGAAAAGGAGAAAACGUCGAACUUGCGAGCAUGGCUUUGAUUUUGUGUGUGUUGAUAAUGUGGUGUAUGGUCUGUUGUCAUGAUGGUUGAAAGGAACAUUGGGAGCUACUUAUGACUUGUCGGUUAUUGGAGAAGCAAACAUGGUUAAAACCUUCGCUCAUCCUUGACCUAUCACCUUGAUUCCUUUUUAAACUAUGAUAGCUAACAAUAUUUGUUUGGACAGUUCCGGUUGAGUAGAAACAAAAACAAACGGUUUGGGAUGAACACUGGAGGAUAUUGCGUCGUACUGAGUUUUUUUGGAUGAUGCCGGCAAGCACAAUAUCUCCUUGGCAGCAAGAGCAUUGCCAGAAGCAGAAUUACAAUGAAACGCCGUCUUUUUUUCAUUGUAUGUCCUCAUUCAAAGCUAUUCCACGAAGAUAGUUUUGAUACUUUGUCACUAGCAACUUUUGCACAGUCUUCUGCGCUAGAUUUCCCGUAAUCACGAAAAGAAAGCCACUGCCCUCCGAUAGUUGUUUCAUAACCACAGUGAAGUAGAAGCAAUAUGGAAUGGUUAAAGUAUCUGACUUGAAGGAACCUGUGGGAAUUCAACUCGUUGGCAACCAUCAUAUCUGCCACAACACCACCAGCCCGUGUUCCGAGAUAAAUCUUAAAGAGAACAGGUGUUUGUGUAAGCAGACCUUGAGAAACCCUUCCUUCAUAAAGCCUUCUUGAACAUCUUGACUUUUGAAUCCUCCUUCUUCACCAAACGAAUAUUGAUCAGUAUUAGUGGUAACGUUCAUGAAACGAUAGUUUCCAAUGGGUCUAUCGACUUGAAACCAAUCGGAGUUUGUGAUAAGUGUGGCAUUGGCUUUAACUUUGAGUAUUCGAAAAUUGAAAGUGUGUGAUGUUGAGAACAAGAAUGUGGGAAGAGGAAUAGCGGCAACCAUGCUUUGUUGUUUUUUUUAAUCUCCCUUUGGCAAAUUUCCAUGUACUGUUGCAAAAUGUGCAUUGACAUCGGUGUUAUCUUCAUUCUUUUUUCAGGUACUAGAGCCGGACAAAACUGUUGUUACCGCACCUCAUCAGGUAUGGCGACCAAUGGAUGAAGGUGGAGGUUGCCUCAGAGGACGAAAUGGAUUACGUAGGUCCCAAAACUUAAGGCCUUCAUGUCCGAAACAAAGCAGAGGCCUUGUAUCAUCACAUUUAGACGAAGAAUUUGUAGAGAAUUUCCAUAGGGCAACCGUUCUGUCAUGGCAUCCAACAAGUAAAUAAUCAUGAGGGGGCGUAGUCGACUACUCCACUGUCAAAGGAAUGCUUUUUAAGCUACCACGCUUCAACAUUGAACAUUUGAAGACAGGCUCCAAUCUUAGAAAACAAGGAUCGGUGCCUUCGAUAUCAUAUAAAUUGCUCUCACUACAUAAAGUUGUCAUGUGAUUGACGGUUUUCCUCUAUGUUUCUGAGCUGUUAGUAAAAGAAAUUACCGCCGUGAAUUUGGCCUAGCAUACUAAUGCCAUACCUUUUUUUUGAAAUUUCUUGUAGGAUUGGCUCUACUGGUAUGAAUCAGCUAGGUGUACCAUAACGCAAGCAAUAGCAAAGACCACCAGCUACUGGAAACAUGAGAUUUCAGAUCCGGUUCAUCACAUGCAGCAUUGUAGGAUCUUUGCUACAGAACGUUCCAAAUUUUCUGACAACAACCAAUAACAGAUACCCUAGACAAGACUGUGAUGUAUCGUAACCACAAGCUCCUACUGCUUGUUCAGGGUCGAUGGAUCACCACGGUUACUUUUCCAAAGCUUCAAACUACCAUCCGAGCAGCCUGUGGCCAGGAUAUAUGUAGCACAGCUACUACAAUGGUCAUUUGCAAAGCCAGCCUCUUGUUGUCUAUGACUCUCUCGGUGCCCGGAUCUCCCUUCGUUCGAGUGUUGUUAGAUGCUUGGACAACUUGUUUUCUCUUGUGUUGGAAUUCAAAUCCGUCAAAUACAUCUUCAGCAUCAUGGCAGAUGUUUUGAAGCUGUCUCAUCCACUCACGCAGCCCAUGUUUUUGGUCCUUCUGAUACUCAGCAUCCAACAGAAGACCUCUGAUAAUGGACAAAGUGUCUUUGAACUCUUGUAGAUCUUUAUACACACCAUAGGCUCCUGAAACUUCUUUAUAAGCAUAAGUAGCAAGCCUCCUUGUUCAUGUAUACAUUCAUCAAGAGAGUUACAACAACUUAUUUUAUACUUGUUUAUACGAUGUAUCAAAUGUGUUUGUGAAUACUGAGAAUGUAGAAUGGAAACAAACAUCCUGAGCACCAGAGCAAAUGUUUGGAAUCUGCCUUAGCCAUUCAUGCAAAGCAUGUUACUGUUUUUUUCGCGUCCAACAAAAGACUUCCUGAUAAUUGAAAGUAUUUUGUAUCCCUCGGAGAUCAUCAUCCACAAUACAGGAACGAGCAAAAUAAUGUACGCUCGUGCAUUGUGCGAGUCUUAAUAUAGCUUGG